CAGAGUUCUGAGCUCUGCCCCAGUAUAUCCAAAACCAAUCUUGCCUGAGUCAGGAAGGAGGUAUGAAUGUUGGUGCUCAGCAAUUAUUGAUGCUUAUGUUGACACUGACACUAGGCCUGUUGCGUGGCUCUAAUUAGACUUCUUUAUACCUGAUGCGUCAUCCUUGCCUACUGUCCCACUUCAAUAAUUGACGUUUAGACACUGUUUGGUUUUGCUAGUUUUAUUCUCUCACCAUUCCAACUCCAAGUUACUCAAUCCUCCUCCAAACUGUUAUGACUGUUGUCUUUAUAUCAGCUGGUGAAAUUCCAUGAUGCUGCCUCUAUUUUUGGAAUCUCCUCUGGAAUCCUCGCUGUUUGCACCACCUACUGUGAGAUUGCACUACCAGCAAUCUCAUCUUACGCUGCCAAGUGCUCAAUGAAUGAUGGUCUGUAGUGUGCUGUCAGAUCCUCCAGUGUUCUACUCACCACAUUGGAUUUUCUUUUAAUGCUUUUGGAUUGAAACUAAAAAUCCUGAUGAGUUCAAUAGUACCCUAGUUAAGCAGUAAUGCAAGCUGAAGAAAAUUCUUCCACUGUUAGGCUGGGCACGGUGGCUCACACCUAUAAUCCCAGCACUUUGGGAGGCCAAGGCGGGUGGAUCACCUGAGGUUAGGAGUUCGAGACCAGCUUGGCCAACGUGGUGGAACCCCGUCUCUGCUGAAAAUACAAAAAUUAGCCAGGCAUGAUGGCAGGUGCCUGUAAUCCCAGCCACUUGGGGGGCUGAGGUGGGAGAAUCGCUUGAACCCGGGAGGCGGAGAUUGCAGUGAGCAGAGAUCGCGCCAUUGCACACCAGCCUGGGAGACAGAGCGAAACUCCAUCUCAAAACAACAACAACAACAACAACAAAGAAAAUUCUUCCACUGUGUAGAAAAUGCAUCAACAUUAUUCUAAGACUUUCUUCAGGAAAUCCCAGGCAUUUAAAGUCAGCCCUUUAAUACUAUGGUUCUUAUUAAAACCAGAGAUUAAUGUAUAACCAAAACUGAAAGCUUCAUAGGUUACAUUGUGUGAACAUAAAUGAAAUAAAAUUACUGUGAUAGAAAUAUGCUUUAGUUUCUCUCUACAAUUACAAAAACGGAAGUUGAAUGAGGAAUUUAAAAGAUAACAAUACACUUUUAUCUUGUAACAGUGUUAAUCACAGUGAAAUAUACUUUUCAGGAUAACAUUUUCAAAUGGAGCAAAUAUCGUUACAGAUUGAUGGCAUAGCCUUUAUUUGCCUUGUCAACAUUAAGGUAGGAAGACUUCUGAGAUACAAAUGUCAGACUGACAGUAGUGACUCAGAAGCAGAAAUUCAAAAAAUGCACUUGCUGUAAAUUCUGCUACACUGCCCAGGGCACUUCUUGGUCUGUAUGUGUAACAUGUAUUCAGCUAUUGUAAAGUUUCUUUAACAGUCCUGGAAGUACUAUGACAGUAACAAGGAAGAUUGAUAGCAGAUUCCAUGCCUCUUUGUUAAUCACAUUAAGAACUCUGCUUGGUACUCUUUGAUGUUGUGUCUGGAAACAUACAUCCCCACCACACCAUAUUGAAAACUUUCAUCCUAUUACCCAUCUGCUGCCAGCAAAUGAUCAGUUUAAAGGCAAAAAAUGGGUGAUGGGGGUGUGAAAGUCAAAGAUUUGCCAAGCAUACCGUUUUUCUACUACUCAUUCUUCUAAUUACCUUUUGGGAAAUGAGAGAACCUAACCAUAUAACAUUUUGAAAUGUUUCCUUAGGGAAUCUGAAUAAUAUUUUAUGUAGCUUGAGUUACAUGAUAAUGACAAGCAUGUCUUCAAACAUUAGAAUUAAACCCAUGGAUGUGGCAUAGUGCCUGUUGUUUUUCAUCAUAAGAGUUUAUGAUAAAACUGAGUACUGGAGUCUGCAGUUUAUAAAAAGAUGUUUCCUUCUAUUUAGCUGGAGGAGUUUCUUAUACUGGUGGAUUGGUUCCCAGCGCCUACAGUCAGAUAAAUAAAAAGUUGCAGCAGGGGGACCAACUAGUAGGGAGUACAUUUCAUCGGUUGGAGAGAGGAAAUUUAUUUCUUCAAUUACUUUAGAACAUCUGCAUGUUACAAAGAGGAAUGUGCAUUAACACAAUUAACCAUUUCUUUUUUUUAAUUGAAUUCAUGGAUUCAUUCCUAAGUUUUCUAAUCAGUUUUGCUCUGGUGUCAUAAGUUAAGGGAGAAUCAAUACCAAACUAAUUUUCCUGCAUAAAGAGAUUACUUGGAUAAUAGAUUUUUUCCAGUGCUUUUGGAAAUAUUGAGUCUAAUAAAAUAACUCUAACAGAGAUACAAUUAUUCAUAUCAGUAAGUUGUUCAUCAGAAAUAUUUCACAAAGACUAGACCUGAAUCUAAAUUGGAGGCAAAAUCAUUCAAUUCAAUAGAGCAGUUGCACUUUUCUCAUAUAGUAAAAUGACCAGUUGCACCUAGUAAACAGUACAGCACAACCCCUAAGUGCAGGGGAUCUGGAGGCAAAACAUGAGGGUCAAAGCCUCACUGUACCACUUUCCAGCUGUGUAAUCUUGGGAAAGAUUCUUCAUCUGUAAAAUGAUGCUUAAAAGCUAUACCUGACUUUUAGGAUUGUUGUAAACAUUAAAUUUGUAAAUGAGAAUGAUCUUAUAACUGUACAUGUUAACCAUUGUUUAAACCUAUAUGAAUAAAAUUCUAGAUGAGUCACUGAUAUAGUUUGGCUGUGUACCUACCCAAAUCUCAUCUUGAAUUGUAGCUCCCAUAAUUCCCACGUGCUCUGGGAGGAACCUGGUGGGAGAUAAUUGAAUCAUGGGGGAGGUUUACCCCAUACUAUUCUUGUGGUAGUGAAGAAGUCUCACAAUAGCUGAUGGUUUUAUAAUGAGUUUCCCUUUUGCUUGGUUCUCAUUCGCUCUUGCUUGCUGCCAUGUAAGACUGUGAUUGCCUGGACUGUGAGGCCUCCCCAGCAACGUGAAACUGUGAGUCCAUUCAUUUUCUUUAUAAAUUACCCAGUCUUGAGUAUGUCUUGAUCAAUAGAGUGAAAAUGGACUGAUAACAGUCUUGGACUGUGAGCUCCAAGAAUUAAAUGCUGUGUAGAAUGAUGGAAUAUCCUGGGAAGACAUCUACAGCUCUGGAGAGGCACUACCUAA
rnacentral:lncRNA from 10 species